rnacentral:rRNA from 1 species
AGAAUCAACGCUGGCGGCGUGCCUAACACAUGCAAGUCGAACGAGAAAGUGGAGCAAUCCAUGAGUAAAGUGGCGCACGGGUGAGUAACACGUGACUAACCUACCUUUUAGUGGGGGAUAACCUAGGGAAACCUGGGCUAAUACCGCAUAAUACCUACGGGUCAAAGCAGCAAUGCGCUGGAAGAGGGGGUCGCGGCCGAUUAGCUAGUUGGCGGGGUAAUGGCCCACCAAGGCAGUGAUCGGUAUCCGGCCUGAGAGGGCGCACGGACACACUGGAACUGAAACACGGUCCAGACUCCUACGGGAGGCAGCAGUGGGAAUUUUGCGCAAUGGGGGAAACCCUGACGCAGCAACGCCGCGUGGAGGAUGAAGACCCUUGGGUCGUAAACUCCUUUCGAUCGGGACGAUAAUGACGGUACCGGAAGAAGAAGCCCCGGCUAACUUCGCGCCAGCAGCCGC